rnacentral:lncRNA from 1 species
AGCAACCAUCAGGCCUCCCAGAUUGUAUCAAGGAAUUGAAACUUAGCAGAUCAUGGCUUUUGGACAAUGAGAUGCCAUACGCCUCAUCAAUCACUAUUUCCUAAUCAUCCACCUGUUUCCUGUUGACCAACUUCUCUUCUUUACCUCUCCCUGCUUCCUAUUUUCCCACACAUAGUUACAUUUUUUCCCUGCUAUAUAAACCCCUAAUUUUAGUAAAUCAGGGAGAUGGUUUGAGACUGAUCUCCCAUUGCCUCACCUGCAACACCUGAUGAAAGCCUUCUUUCCUGGCAAUACUCAUCAUCUCAGUGAUUGGCUUUCUGUGUAGUGAGCAGCAGAACCUAGACUGGACCCCUGGUGUUUUGUAAGAAAGAAUGAGAUAAUACUGCGAUGAAUAUUUUGUGACGUAUUUCCAUAUCCACAUAUAUGACAGCUUCUCUAGGUUGUGUGUCUCAGAAGAGAAAUAAUGUAUCAUAGAUUAAAGAGAGUUUCUCUGGCUGAAGAGAAUGUUUUGUGCAUUCUGGAGAGAAUAUGGGGAAAUGCUGUGGCCUGAUGAGUAACAUAUGCCUGGAGAAUAUUCAGAUUUUGGAAGAAGCACGAAAAUGAUUUACUGAUUUAGGAACUGGGUGGAGUAGACCACAAAAAGACAAAUCAAAAACAUCUGGAAUGAACUAGUUGAGAGAGAAAAAGAGAGAGCAAGAAAAAAAGCAGGAGCCGGCAAGAGGGAGCCUCAGCCAACACUACAUCAGAGGCACAUUGUGGAUGGAGGAAAUGAGUUUAGUCAAGCCAGCUGUGACUUCAAAGGGGCUGCUCUCCCAGAGAACAGUGAGAAAGGGUUCCCCCUUCAGUGAAGACUGCAAAGUUCAGCCAGCGCCAACCCAAAGGGAAUGGACUCCAGGAAGGGGCAAAUUACAUUCAACAUACAAGAAAGAAUAUUUUCCUUCAUGAAGUGGCUGUGACAGUCUGAAGAGGAAGGAAAAUGACAAAAAAGAAAGGGCCAGUACGUGGAAAAUGCGGAAAUUGGAACUUACUAUAAGUAACUAAUUCAGAAAUCAGGCUGGCAGAAGUGUUAUACAUUCACUGGAAGAAAUUGGUGAAUAUAUGGAAAACAUAAAUGUUAUGUAUCCUGGAACUUAAAAUAAAAAUUAAUAAUAAAAAAUGUUAUCUCUCCCAAGCACUCAUUUGAUGCUUGAAUCCUCUCUAUGACAUCCUUACCAAGGAUUUGUUCUUCUUAUGCUUGGGUACUUCAACUGAUGAGAAUCUCACUAGCUCAGGAUGCAGUUUGCUUUCUUUUAGAUAGCUCUGUUAGAGCUGCCUUCUUCCAGGGCUGAACACUUCCAUAAUUUAAAUUCCAUUUAUUAGUUUUAGUCCUGCCCCUUGGGAACUCGUAGCAAAGAUACUUACAUAUUAAUGUGACAUUUUUCAGGUACUUGAGGUUAGUAAUUAUGUAGCAUAUGACAUAGAUUAAACUCAUAGACUCUGGAAACAAACUACUUGCCUUCCCUUCAAAUUCUUAUUCUGCCACUUACUUACUAUGUGACCUCCAGAGAGUUAUUUACUAUCUCUGUAACUUUAUUUCUUUAUCUAUAUAAAAAGAUAUAAUAAUAGCAGUACAUCAAAGGGCUUUUAUAAGGAGUCCAUGAAUUAAUAUAUGUAGAUGUGCCUGGAACACGGUAAGUGCUCUAAAAGUUUUCACUAUUACUAAUCAUCAUCAUUAUUAUACAGAUCUUGUCAGAUAUCGGACCUAGGCCAUCUUUCUAAGUCUUUACUCAUUCAUUAAGUGAGCUCAUUCACUCCCAUGGCUUCAAUCACCAUCUAUAUGAUUAUGAAAAAUCUAUUUUCCUCCUGAGCCAAGAGCUAAAUGUAAGUGACCAGUUAUGGAUACAGGAAUUGCUCUGGCCACCAUAAUUUGGGUGGAAAUGGUGCAUACCACUUCCAGUUCUUGCCCCUUAAAAUACCAUGAGAAAUCUUGCACUCCUUUCUCCUAGUUCAUCAGCUAACUGAAUGCAGAGAAACCAGUGGAGGACUCCAAGGAAAUUCCAAAGAGUGGUUGAACCACGGGUUGGAAGAAGUCUAGAUCCCUGAGUCAAUGUUUGGAGAGGAGCUGCCGAGGAGAGCCACCAGAGAGGGACACAUGAGCAAGAAAUAAACAUUUCUUCUGUUAAAACAUUGAGAUUUUAUAGCCCAUCAUGACUAAUCCAAUGAGACCCUAGUGUAGAUCUUUUGCUUAGUCUUCGCUUCUGAGAUCUAGAACUAUAUAUUUCAUUUGCUAAUCACCAUUUCUACAUGAACCCUCAAAUAGGGUAAUAGGUAAACUCAGAGUUUCUAAGAUUAGACUGUGUUGAAAUCUUAGUCCUUCCAGGUACAGCUAUAUGACUCAAUGUGUGUGUGGGGGCGGGGGCAGGGGGGUUAAAUAAACUAUUCAUAACUGUAUCUACUUAAAAGUAAUAAGAAAAUGAAAUGAGCAUAUACAUAUAUAUAAAACAGUUAUCGGCACAUAGUAAAUGCUCAGUAAUUGUCAGGUAAUACAGUUAUUAUGACCAUCCCACUCCAAAUUUGCUCUUUCCCCAGGUUUUUUAUGUUGAUAAAUGGUACCACCAUCCAAUAGUUGUUAAAAUUAGAAAUUUGCAACUUUAUCUUGGAUCACUUUUUUUAUCCUCCCACAUGGAUAAAGUCAAUCAAUAACUGAUUGAUUACACUCCUUCAGUAUUUUUCAAAUCCAUUUGCUUAACUCUCUCCUCUUCUAUUCUACACUUUUCAUCCUAGUUAAAGCCACCAGCCUAUGUAACUUUAUUAUAUUUGCGUCCUUACUAGUCUUUUCAAAUCCAUCCUUGCACCCUCCCAAUUCAUGCUUUAUGUGGAAAUGUAGGCAUUUUUUAAAAAAUUCAAAUCAAAUCUUGCUGCUCAAAAUUUUAAAUGCAUCAACACCGAUUGCUCUUUGGUGCCACCACAUUCCUGACCCAUUACUUCAGCACCCCCUCAAACCCACCACAGGACUUUAUUUCUACAAUUCAGCCACACUGGACUUUUGUCGGUGUCAGAAAAGUGCCAUAGAUUGUCCCAUCUUUGAUGUUAUCAUGUGUUGGUUACUUUUGCUUAGAAUAAACUUUCUCCCCAUCCCAGUUUACCUAAUUAAUUCCUGACCACUCUUUACAUUUCUGCUUAAAUGCUAUACUCUCCAGAAAGCCCUCUUAGCAAUCUCUGCCCACACUUCUUAAAGCUAUGCCUACAUAGCCCCCACCUUAUUUCUUCAUUAAACUCUUUGCACUUGCCAUUAUUUGUAUAAUUAUGUUUUCCCAGCUAACCAGGAGACUUUGUGAGGGCAGAGACCUCAUAUGUAUGGCUCACUGCCUGGUAUAGACAGUAUAUUGGCUUAUACGAAGGAGGAGUUUAUUAAAUACAGUAAAUUUUUUUAAGUGUGAAUAUGAGUCUGUUAAAUGACUGUGUGUAUAUGUACCCAAUGUAAAGUUUUAUUUGGUUCGGUCUAGAAAAAUGUCCUACAGCCAAUUCAUGUACCUAAUUAAAUUCACUUACAAAUUUAGGAAACUCAGCACCUGCCCUAUUUGAGUUUAAAACUAGUUGAUUUGAUAGACAUAUAAAAUAAAAACUAUACUAUAGUAUCAUCCAUGCUGUCAUAAUAGAAUUAUCUCAAAACCUCCAUUGAUGUACUAUUUGGG